GCUGUAAAUCUCUUCCGGGCUGGAGGCGGCAGUGUCGUGAAACAGCUGUAUCAUUAAUAAUUUUCUAAUGUAGCUUUGCAAUCACGUCAUGGAGAGGAGCGGGAGCAAAGGAAAACUCGCCAGGUGAACAAUCUCAAGAAUAGACAAGUAUAGCUAGAUACUACAUCCUGCUGCUUCCCUAAUGAGAAGUUGGCAACAAUGAAGCCAAUUAGCCACAAAGUAAAGAAUUUAAACCAGUUGGAUCCAGAAAGACCCAGGACCACCAUGACUGCGCAUGCUCCAAAGACGAAAUUGAAAAGUUCAAGAUGUGAGGGAGACCUGAGCCUUCGUCGAAGAAGACCCCUGAAGAUCCUCACGAUCAUAAUACGCAUGCUCUAAUAGGCGGAUCGGAGGAGGAACUAUGUUACUACCUUCUAAAGUGAAAUGUAAAUUAGUUCUCAGAAAAA